CAGAAAGAGGCGACCGAAGCAAACCAUAAGAUAAAGCGAAAGCAGUGGCGAAGAGAAAAGGAGGACGCGAGAGGGAGAGAGAAAGAGAGGGAGAGAGAGAGAGGGAGCGAGGCGUUAGAGAGGAGGACGACGAGAUCUGGCCAGAAAAAUCCUUGCUUUUUGCGCUGUUCUGAGGGGUUCCGGGGAGUCUAAGCGAACUGGUCCGGGGGAAGGUCCGGAAUCUGGGACUUUUUGGGCGUUGAACGGCGGCGGUCGGGUCUUUACGGGAGAUCUGGUGGAGGUGAUGAGACGAUGAGGGGAAACUGCUAAUCUGAUUGGAUGACAGGGAGAGAUGGAGAGGCAUCGUGAAGCUCGGAGAGGGAGCAUGGCGGCGGCAACGGCGAACGGCGGUGGCGGUGGUGGAGGGGGGUUGUCGAGAAGGAGGCAGAGGAACAGCAGCGGCUUCAGAGACUCUCCUGAGGAGGAUGGAAGGAUGGAGAUGCCAGAGACGUCGAGGCUGCGGGAUCGAGGGGCCAAGAAGGACCGCGAUCGGGACAGAUCUAGCCGGAGCAAGCGGAGAAGAGGGGAGAGGACGCUCCACGGGAGCAACAGAGACAGAGAUGAAGCCGAUGAAAGCUCCGAGGAGAGCAUCGACCAGGAUGAGGACGACGAAGAUGAGGACCUCUCCGUCCCCGUCCGGCUACCGCCGUCCUCGCCCCCCCUUGUAAAUCAAGCGGCGGCUUCGUCGCCACAACAUAACCACCAAAUCAACCACCAUCACCAGCAACAGCUACCCCGGAAGAGCUUUCCGCCUAAAGUUGUGAAGUGGAAGCCAGAUGAGAUGAUCGGGUUCACCGUACCCAGAAAAGCUCGUUCAGCAGCAAGCAAAAGGUCACAUGAAACUUCAGGUCUAGGGGGAGCUGGUGGUGGCGGUGGAGGCGGAGACCAAAUCACCCGGCAAGCUUCCAUUUCUCCGUCGAGGCUGAGCCCGGCAUCCACUACGCAGCUUUCGCCGUCUUCCUCCAACGGCUCGCUUCGGAAGAAGAUGAAGCAGGUGAGUGGAGCCAAAAUCCGGCCGCCGAAGAUCUCAAAAUCCACAUCUUUGAGCCAUGACGAGAUCGAGAUGGAGGUUGCGGAAGUUUUGUACGGGAUGACACGGCAAUUCGAGUGUCUUCCAAAGCAUGAUGGCCACAAGGUGGAUUCAAGGGAUGUGGAUGGUGGGUCUGGCAAUGAAGCUAAAUCGAGGGUGCCCUCAACAAACUCGCUGUCGCCAUCUCCGGUUGCCUAUCCAUCUGCACUUCCGUCGUCCAAUUCAUGUUCUAAUCCUGCCCCGUUUGCUGCGAUUGCUCCAAAGAGAAAAAAGCCUAGACCUGUGAAGUUUGAUGAAGAAAGCCCCACGAGUCCAGUUGGAGUACAGCAUCUUUCGAGCUUAUCUGUACCUUUCGUAGCCAAAAUUGACUCAGAGAACCAGACAAAGACAGAGGCUUCAUCUCCAAGAUCGGAGAAGAAUAGUGCAUCUGCUGCCAUAAAAAUUGGUGGCGAGUCGGUCGAUGUUUUGGUCUCCCAGGCUUUGCUCUCCGAUGUACAACAACAGCAGGAGUCGGCCAAGACCAAGAAGGGUAAGACUCAGGAGUUGCAUACAUCGACGGGAGGGUCAAAUAAUGGGGACAAGGUGGAAAGCAAGGAAGAGCUCGUUCCACGGGCAAAAGGAUCUGCUUGCGGUGGCUUAGAUGUCAAUAUCUGCGACACGGAAGCUAGAAAGAUGGCGCCUGAUAGCCCUAAGGAGGAAAUGUUCAAGAUCGAUCUGAUGGCUCCUCCUCCAGGGAAGCUAUCUCCAGAGAUGGGUGACUUUAAUGACUUUGACCCAGAUCACAAGCCACAGGGCCCAGAUAAAGAAACCGCACUGAAACUGAAUAAUAAGGAUAAGACAGAAGAGAAGCCCGCAGAGAGUACGGUGACUAGAGAUGAGCAACAGACUGAGAAGUCCGUUCAGAGAGAGAUUGAUUCAAGGAAGCAAGUAGUAAUCAAGCAGAAUCUUGACCUUCAACUUGAUUUGGAAAAGCCCAAGAAAGAUGAUAGUGGCAUCGACAAGGUUCAAGUCCAAAAGCAGCAAGCAAAGGAUCCUAAAGUAGAGCCUAAACAAGAGAAGUCUGGAUCGACACCCUCGCUUCAGAUGCCAUUGACAGUUGGAACCUGGCCUGGUGGUUUUCCACCUUAUGGGUACAUGGGUCAAGUUCCAUCUUUGCAUGCUGUUGUUCCUAUGGAUGGAUCUGCAGGUCCUUCCAGUUCCUUGCAGCCUCCAGCAUUUCUUCAAACGCAUCCCCGUCCAAAGCGCUGUGCUACACAUUGCUAUAUUGCGCAGAUGAUAUCCAAUCACCAGAAAUUUGCUAGGAUGAAUUGUUUCUGGACUGCUGCAGCUGGAGCUGCACCUUUGUACGGGACCAAGCCAUAUAAUCCUAAUAUAGCUCCACCUUCGGAUGCCUCUACUCCUGGAAAUCCAACACAAGGAAGCUUCCUAGGUGCAAACAUGGGCACCUUGCAAGAGGCCAAGGGGUCACCAGCUUUAGCAUCAUAUAUGGGAAGUACCUCACAGGAGAAGAUGCUUUCAAGCAGUAAUACAAUCAUGGAGUCUGCCCAGAGAAAACCACUAAUUUUCCAGCAGGUGCCUCAUUCUGCUGCAGCAAACAACAUGCUGCAUGGUCCUGCGUUCAUUUUCCCUAUAAACCAGCAGCAGGCCACAGCUGCAGCUGCCAACAGAGCUGGGGGAGCAAAAUCUACUCCAGGCUCUGCUGCUGAGGUGCGGGCAUCUGGUGCCAUGAGUUCUGCUGUGGGGAGCUGCGGAGGUGGUGGAACAGCAAACCCAGUGAACUUGAGCUUUGCUAGUUUGCCUCCCAAUGAAGCUCAGUACGUGGCUUUUGUGCAGAACAAUAUGUAUCCUUUUCCUGCCCAUAUUUCAGGGGCUACUGCCUUUCGAGGAACUAGUAAUGCUCAAGCGAUGCCCUUCUUCUACCCUCCGCACAUGCUUCACCCAUCACAACUACGACCACAGCAGCAGCAACCACCAGCAGGACCACUACCGCAUGUUCAGCCGAGCCACCAUAAUCCAGGCAAUUUGAGUGGGUCCUCGCAGAAACAUCCGCAGCAGUUACAUGGUAUAAAGGGAAGUGUUUCUGUUGCAAAUGCUAAUGGUUGUCCGGCUACUAAUCAUCGACAGGACCACCUGCCUCAGCAUUCUCGUCCUAUGGAGUGCAAGGGCAUGGAAGAUGACCUUCCCACUACUGAUGCUGCUAUAGCAAUGGGCAAUGGUGGGGGUCACGGUGAUAAGCAGCCAGUUUAUCAGCAGAAGCAGAACAUGAAGGUAGAGCUUGCACCGCCUCAAGCUUUUGCAAUACCCUUUGCAUCCUUUGGUGGGGCCGGAACUGCAACACCUGGUCUCGAUUUCUCUUCCAUGGUGCAAAAUCAUGCCAUUUUACAGAGCCUUCCAGAAAAUUCUCGGCAUGGCUACCACCAGAUGACAACAGCUGCAGUUGCUGCCACCACACAAGUUGCAGAGAAGAAGAAGGUCCACCAAGUGUCCGAAGAUGUUAAGUCUGUUGCGAGGGAGUUGAACACAAAUAUGGUAGGUGAAGAGGACAGAAAAAUUAUGGUGGCUAGCAAAGGUCUGCAGCAUUCUUUUUCAUUUGAAAAAGCAGACAAUGAACCACCCAUCUCAUCCGUUCUCAGUAACAGUGGUGUUGACGUCUCUGCCCGGUCCGUAAACCUCAUACACACUUCUGCAAAUGGCAGUAGGUCCACUGACCGUGCAUCUGGCACUGCUACAGCUACAACUGCUGCCACCAUCGCUGCCACCUCCCAACAACUGCAGCAGCAUGUAAUUCAUCUUCAGAAGCAGCAGUUGCAACACCAGCUUGCAUCGACUCGCUCAAAGCCCUCAGCCUCAAGCAACAAUACCAAUAUGCAUCCUGAGAGUCUGCCUGGAGGUUGUACCGGCACCAAGUUCCCUCGUGCUCUAACUGGCUUUCCUCAAGCAUUCGUACAAGGUGGCAGUCCCAUCCAGCGGCCUCAGGGCAAGACAUCCUCUGGAAGACUUGUGGAUCCUGCUGCAGCUCCGCCGCUGGUGAAAAACAAUGUCCUCCAGCUACAAGGCAGAGCAUCCCAACAACCGUUUCCCGCCCAAAACCACCAAACCCAGAUAUCAUUUGGUGUGAAUUCAAAUAAAAUGGUGGCUCCAGGGGGUCAACACCUCUCUGGCGUAUGUCGCAGUCCAUCUCCAUCUUCUUCCUCUGUUGCUGUUGGAUCGCCCUCAAAUUCAGUCAACAAGAAUGCAAGUGGCAGCCCAAGUGCAUCUGCCAGUGUAAAACCCAGUCCUCAGACUUCUGCUAUUUUGCUCCCACAACAAUCAGCUGUAAAGCAAUCAGCAUCAAGUUCUAGCUCAAAGUCAACAACUGCGAGUAACUCAAACAUGCCAUCCAUUCUUGGGCACCCUCAGAAAGUUCCUGCCCCGAGCUCAAACACCAAGCAGCAGCAACAGCCUCAGCAAUCAAAGCAGCAACCCUUCUCUGAGGCUCAGAUCUUCUUCUCUAAUCCCCACCUGCAACAGGUCCAGUGUGCUCAGUCCAGUGCUGCUCCCACUGCUGCUCAAUAUUAUCAGAAGCGCCAAUCUGAACAACAAAUGCGACAGUCCCAACAGCAGCAGCAACAAAGCUCAGCACCAUCAUCUGCUGGGAUGCUUUCCCUUUGUGCCCCCUCUGCGCUUACACUGGCUGGUGUUCCUACCACAUCUGAUCCUGCUAAGGCCUUGGCUGCUGCCUCUGUAGCUGCGGCCAACAGUAUAAAGGGCCUGCCUCCACCUGGCUAUUAUAACGCUGCUCAGCUGGCUGUGGCUGCGCAGUCUGCCUCUGGCUCUCCACGCCCGCCAAUUUCUGCUACAUUCCCUUACAUGUCUUUGCCACCAUUUACGAUGAAGCCCUCAUCCGAGCAGAAGCCUGCAGCUGGAAGUGACAAUUUACAUGCCUGCUGGCAGCCUGAGAAGAGGUAAUGCUGGACUGGAUAACCAUUGGCUGCUGAUGCGUGGGUGCACCGGCUGCAUCAGAAGCCACUUUACAUGAGAUUCUGGAAUCAAACAGGAGGAUUCUCAUCCGCCUUCACCGGCCCGGUUGCUGUUCGAUGUGUGCACAAUUCAACUUUCGGGAAAUAGCCGACGAUUGAAAAGGAAGGACAAUUAGAGAUGAAGGAAACCCAGAGGGAGAACGGUGGUGGUGUGGAUCACAGCCUACCGGCAUUUUGAUUUGCUCUCGAGUCCCUUGCAGACGACGGGUGGAGGGGCUAAUCACAAUGCACUCUAGGGAAGAAGAUGGCUGCAUCCUCUCAUCUCGAUUUUGUAUAGUGCAGUCAAAUGCUAACACCAUCAUGGACUGUUUUCUUUUGUUUCGUUUUAACUCCAUUAACAGAAGCUUAGUGAUAUGAAGCAUUUGUUGCUGUUCUUGCUGAUAAUGGAUGAUUGGAAGUUGGUAUCACAAAAGCAGCAGCAGCAGCAACAAAGUCUGUUCUUAGACUACUGCCUUCUUAGCUGAAGGUUUUGGUUAAAAGUACCAAUGCCUCUCAUUCCAUUCCAUUUCUCCUUGGAGAGAGGCUGUUGUCCUCAGAAGUCACAUCAACAAAGGAUGUGAGGAUUUGCCUAAACAUUUGUCGUUCUCAACAUCUUUUUCUGGUCAAAAUUGUUGUAGAUAUGCUUGUGAUAUGGGUGGCAGAGGGCAGCCUCAAUAAAGUAUUCUUCGAUCCUGUUUGUUA